rnacentral:rRNA from 1 species
CCUACGGGCGGCAGCAGUGAGGAAUAUUGGUCAAUGGACGCAAGUCUGAACCAGCCAUGCCGCGUGCAGGAAGACGGCUCUAUGAGUUGUAAACUGCUUUUGUACGAGGGUAAACGCAGAUACGCGUAUCUGUCGGAAAGUAUCGUACGAAUAAGGAUCGGCGAACUCCGUGCAAGCAGCCGCGGUAAUACGGAGGAUUCAAGCGUUAUCCGGAUUGAUUGGGUUUAAAGGGUGCGUAGGCGGUCGGCUAAGUUCGAGGUGCAAUCCCGAGGCUCAACUUCGGAAUUGCCUCUGAUAUGGUUCGGCUAGUGAGUAGUUGCGGUCGGCGGAAUGUAUGGUGUAGCGGUGAAAUGCUUAGAGAUCAUACAGAACACCGAUUG